ACAGAGACAGCAAGCAUGGAGGAGGGGCAGAGAGAGAAAGGGAGACAGAGAAUCCCAAGCAGGCUUUGCACUGUCAUUGCAGAGCCUGACGUGGGGCUCAAACUCACGAAACCACGAGAUCAUGACCUGAGCUGAAACCAAGAGUCAGAUGCUUAACCAACUGAGCCACCCAGGUGCCAUGGGACACUUGUCUUUUAUGUGGCCAUUAGAUGCAGUUUCUAUUUCUGCAGCACAGGUUGCUCGGGCGGUAAAAGAAGGCAGGUGCGUGUCCUGAAAUGCAUGAAGUACAUCCUAGUGGAGAGUGCACACACAGAAGGAAGCAGCUACUCAGCCAUGCGGCACUGUAACUCCUAGGAAGAAUCAGCAGCAAGGAAAUUGGAUACGGAUGAACACCAGGGAGGACACUGCUGGCCACUGAAGGGAAAGCCCAAUGUAGGCAGGAGGCCAGAAUGCGCCAACGCUUUCAGGGGAUACAAUGACACAUAAAGCACAGACAGUGAGACCUGAGAGGAAGAAGAUAAAAGGAAGGCUGUGGAACCAGAGUGUUAAGAAAUCUCAUAGCUGACAAUUUGCUAGCAAAGAACAGGAUGCCUACAAAAUUCGUUAAG